GACGAACGCUGGCGGCGUGCUUAACACAUGCAAGUCGAACGGUAAGGCCCUUUCGGGGGUACACGAGUGGCGAACGGGUGAGUAACACGUGGGUGAUCUGCCCUGCACUUUGGGAUAAGCCUGGGAAACUGGGUCUAAUACCGGAUAGGACUACGCGAUGCAUGUCGUGUGGUGGAAAGCUUUUGCGGUGUGGGAUGGGCCCGCGGCCUAUCAGCUUGUUGGUGGGGUGAUGGCCUACCAAGGCGACGACGGGUAGCCGGCCUGAGAGGGUGUCCGGCCGCACUGGGAGUGAGAGACGGGCCAGACGCCUACGGGAGGCAGCAGUGGGGAAUAUUGCACAAUGGGCGGAAGACUGAUGCAGCGACGCCGCGUGAGGGAUGACGGCCUUCGGGUUGUAAACCUCUUUCACUAGGGACGAAGCGUGAGUGACGGUACCUAGAGAAGAAGCACCGGCCAACUACGUGCCAGCCGCCGCAGUAACAC
rnacentral:rRNA from 1 species